ACUUCCCCUGCAGCCUCCACAUUUCAUCUGACUCAGCGCAUCCGAGAUCAAAAGCUCCCCCUGACAGCCCUUCUGCAGAGGCCCAAACCUGCCAUCUCAAACAUCACCGCCAGGGCCGCAAUCAGGAGCUGCUCCCAGGGCAGUGGUGCUAUUGCUCAUAUCACAGGUUCCCCCGGUACUCCCGGGGCCCAGAGAACCCAGCCUUUUCAACCGUCCAGGAAAACAGGAGUACCCUGAAAAACAAGUUUUGCUGAAAUUCAAAACUAUCUUCCAAAGUCCCUGCACCUGAAUCCUGAAGACUCCCCAGUGGCCCAUUCUGACUCUGAAGCACUGACUACAAGCACCUCCCCGGGGCCACGGCCAUGUCGCACACACGAAUUUACCAGAGGAGAAACUGCAGGUAAGACUGCAGCACCUGAUUGCUGGGUGGCAAUUAGGUGGUCAAGUGACCACCGAGCCCACAGGUUCCUGAUUACAGGGAAAGGCACAAACACCAUUCAAGAACCUCAGCAUCACAGCGACCAAUCCUGACA